UACGUAGGGUGCGAGCGUUAAUCGGAAUUACUGGGCGUAAAGCGUGCGCAGGCGGUCUGUUAAGACCGAUGUGAAAUCCCCGGGCUUAACCUGGGAACUGCAUUGGUGACUGGCAGGCUUUGAGUGUGGCAGAGGGAGGUAGAAUUCCACGUGUAGCAGUGAAAUGCGUAGAGAUGUGGAGGAAUACCGAUGGCGAAGGCAGCCUCCUGGGCCGACACUGACGCUCAUGCACGAAAGCGUGGGGAGCAAACAGG
rnacentral:rRNA from 1 species